UGAAAAGUGAUAGGAAAUAUUGUGGGA
rnacentral:piRNA from 1 species